GAUGAAGCCCUUCGGGGUGGAUUAGUGGCGAACGGGUGAGUAACACGUGGGCAAUCUGCCCUUCACUCUGGGACAAGCCCUGGAAACGGGGUCUAAUACCGGAUAAUACUUUCUCCCGCAUGGGAGAAGGUUGAAAGCUCCGGCGGUGAAGGAUGAGCCCGCGGCCUAUCAGCUUGUUGGUGGGGUGAUGGCCUACCAAGGCGACGACGGGUAGCCGGCCUGAGAGGGCGACCGGCCACACUGGGACUGAGACACGGCCCAGACUCCUACGGGAGGCAGCAGUGGGGAAUAUUGCACAAUGGGCGAAAGCCUGAUGCAGCGACGCCGCGUGAGGGAUGACGGCCUUCGGGUUGUAAACCUCUUUCAGCAGGGAAGAAGCGAAAGUGACGGUACCUGCAGAAGAAGCGCCGGCUAACUACGUGCCAGCAGCCGCGGUAAUACGUAGGGCGCAAGCGUUGUCCGGAAUUAUUGGGCGUAAAGAGCUCGUAGGCGGCUUGUCACGUCGGAUGUGAAAGCCCGGGGCUUAACCCCGGGUCUGCAUUCGAUACGGGCAGGCUAGAGUGUGGUAGGGGAGAUCGGAAUUCCUGGUGUAGCGGUGAAAUGCGCAGAUAUCAGGAGGAACACCGGUGGCGAAGGCGGAUCUCUGGGCCAUUACUGACGCUGAGGAGCGAAAGCGUGGGGAGCGAACAGGAUUAGAUACCCUGGUAGUCCACGCCGUAAACGUUGGGAACUAGGUGUUGGCGACAUUCCACGUCGUCGGUGCCGCAGCUAACGCAUUAAG
rnacentral:rRNA from 1 species